GCUGCGCACUCCGGGUACCCCACCCCCGCCCUUGCGUACCGGCUCCGGUGCGGGCGACGGCGCCUCCCACGCAGCCGCCGUCUUCAGCGAGCGCCGCGGGGCGUCGGGAGUCUCCGUCACCGCCCACGGGAAAACGCGGACGGCUCGUCCCGCCGUGACCGUCCCUCCAGCGAGAGCCGCGCGCGCUCUCGCAUCGGCAAGUCUGGAUGGUCUCGCUUCUCUUGCGCGGCGGCGGGCGGGCGAAGCUGUGAGCACCCGAGCCUCGGAGUAGAGCUGGCGUCUGAGGUGCGGCUCGGCCCGUGGGGUGGGGUUCCGUUUCCAGCGCCAAAAGCAAAGAUGAGAAAUACAAAAGCAUCUUUAUCCACUUCAAACCUUCACGCUGGGCGUGGUGGCUCAGGACUGUAAUCCCAGCACUUGGGAGGCUGAUGUGGGAGGAUCCUGGGAGUUCAAGACCAGCUUGGGCUACAAAGGUCUUGCUGUGCUCUUCAGGUUGGCCAUGAGCUCACUUUGCAACCCAGGCUGGUCUCAUAUUCACAGUGAUCCUUCUGCCUCUGCCUCUGGAAUGCUGGGAUGACAGCAGGAGCACAUGAAUCACACCCACAGAGAUGCUCACUUCCCCAGCAGAUCACUGCCUUCAAAACCAUCGGACCUCGGGAAGGUUUUAUGGAUUUCCAGGAAUCCCUUCUUCACACCCCUGGAAACUUUUCUGAAGGCAGAAUGCAAAUGGAACAGUCCAAGGAAACCUAGCCCAAGGGAGAACAGCAGGGGUCCACAGGAGCACCCCACUGGGGAGGCUCCCAACUCGGGAACAGUGUCUUCCAGAGGGAGAGUGCUGGGCUUCACAUUCCCCACCUGCUGCGCUGGGCAGGGCAAAGGCCAGCAGCCAAGGCCCUGGUGACUCCUGACUCGGAUGUGGAAUGGAGGCCCCCUGUCCCUCGGUCCAACCUUCUGAUUCCUGGACUCAGUGACAGAAGUGGCUUUACCCCCUUGCCACUCCCCCACCAUUCCACUUCUGCCUUACAGGCUGCUAAACAGGGGUUGGCACCUCAGAGAUUCAGAGCCAAAAUAACUUUUCUCCUUUAAGUUACAUAUAGCAGGUAUUUUGUUUCAGGAAUGAAAAAAUGACUAAUAUAUGAUCAAACUGUC